rnacentral:rRNA from 1 species
UCGAGAAUUUUUCACAAUGGGCGAAAGCCUGAUGGAGCGACGCCGCGUGGGGGAUGAAUGGCUUCGGCCCGUAAACCCCUGUCAUUUGCGAGCAAACCUAGGGGGCGAACAGCCCUUUAGCUGAUAGUAGCAAAAGAGGAAGGGACGGCUAACUCUGUGCCAGCAGCCGCGGUAAUACAGAGGUCCCGAGCGUUGUUCGGAUUUACUGGGCGUAAAGGGUGCGUAGGUGGCUAGGCAAGUCCCAUGUGAAAUCUCCAAGCUCAACUUGGAAAAUGCAUAGGAAACUGCAAAGCUAGAGGGUUGAAAAGGAGACUGGAAUUCUCGGUGUAGCAGUGAAAUGCGUAGAUAUCGAGAGGAACACCAGUGGCGAAAGCGAGUCUCUUGGCAAAUCCUGACACUGAGGCACGAAAGCUAGGGGAGCAAACA